rnacentral:rRNA from 1 species
UACGGGGGGAGCAAGCGUUGUUCGGAUUUACUGGGCGUAAAGGGCGCGUAGGCGGCCACCGCAAGUCGACUGUGAAAUCUCUGGGCUUAACCCAGAAAGGUCAACCGAUACUGCGGGGCUAGAGUGCAGAAGGGGCAACUGGAAUUCUCGGUGUAGCGGUGAAAUGCGUAGAUAUCGAGAGGAACACCUGCGGCGAAGGCGGGUUGCUGGGCUGACACUGACGCUGAAGCGCGAAAGCUAGGGGAGCGAACGGG